rnacentral:rRNA from 1 species
UCCGGUGGUGACAGCGGCAGGGACACACCCGGACCCAUUCCGAACCCGGUCGUUACGUCUGCCAGCGCCGAUGGUACUGCCCCCAUGGUGCGGGGUGGGAGAGUAGGACACCGCCGGAA